UGUAGUGCAUAUGCAUCAUAGAGUACAAAAGGACCGAGAUCUGGUGCAUCUCUGGUGUACCUUCUGUUGGAUAAGAAAAUCUGGCACCGAAGGGUAGCUAUAUGCAUAAUGGAUAAGAACUGAAAGCAUCUAAGUUCGAAGUCAACCUAUUAUUUAACAAGACAAAUGGCUAGAAGUAGACUACUUCUUGAUAGGUCAUAUGUGUACGUACUGUAAAGUACUUAGCUAAAUGAUACUAAUAGCCCA
rnacentral:ncRNA from 1 species